rnacentral:lncRNA from 1 species
GUUAACGUAAAAUGUUAUUUUCGCGACGUCAAACUAUGACAUAUCGGGAAAAGAUGCAUUUUUGACUAUUUUUUAUCAUUCAAACUGAUUUAAUUUGAAAACGAGUGCAUGGACCCCUAUUUUUUAAAACGACAUUUUGUUUCAUUUUGUAGGGAGAUUAUGUGGACCAAAUUUUAUAAAACUGUAAAUAGAGGAUUUUUUU